AUUGAACGCUGGCGGCAGGCCUAACACAUGCAAGUCGAAUGGUAACAGGAAACAGCUUGCUGUUUCGCUGACGAGUGGCGGACGGGUGAGUAAUGUCUGGGAAACUGCCUGAUGGAGGGGGAUAACUACUGGAAACGGUAGCUAAUACCGCAUAACGUCGCCAGACCAAAGAGGGGGACCUUCGGGCCUCUUGCCAUCAGAUGUGCCCAGAUGGUAUUAGCUAGUCGGUGGGGUAACGGCUCACCUAGGCGACGAUCCCUAGCUGGUCUGAGAGGAUGACCAGCCACACUGGAACUGAGACACGGUCCAGACUCCUACGGGAGGCAGCAGUGGGGAAUAUUGCACAAUGGGCGCAAGCCUGAUGCAGCCAUGCCGCGUGUAUGAAGAAGGCCUUCGGGUUGUAAAGUACUUUCAGCGGGGAGGAAGGGAGUAAGGUUAAUACCUUUGCUCAUUGACGUUACCCGCAGAAGAAGCACCGGCUAACUCCGUG
rnacentral:rRNA from 1 species